CGACAGUUCGUUCAAUUGGAUAGGAUACUAGACUACGAAUCUAGUGAUAGAGGUUCGAUUCCUUUACUGUCGG
rnacentral:tRNA from 1 species